UACGUAGGGCGCAAGCGUUGUCCGGAAUUAUUGGGCGUAAAGAGCUCGUAGGCGGUUUGUCGCGUCUGCUGUGAAAACCUAAGGCUCAACCUUGGGCUUGCAGUGGGUACGGGCAGACUAGAGUGCGGUAGGGGGUGACUGGAAUUCCUGGGUGUAGCGGUGGAAUGCGCAGAUAUCAGGAGGAACACCGAUGGCGAAGGCAGGUCACUGGGCCGCAACUGAC
rnacentral:rRNA from 1 species